rnacentral:rRNA from 1 species
UAAGUUAGUAGUGAAAUCGUGCGGCUCAACCGCAUACCCAUUACUAAAACUGCUAAGCUUGAGUAUGAGAGAGGUACCUGGAAUUCCUAGUGUAGGAGUGAAAUCCGUAGAUAUUAGGAGGAACACCGAUGGCGUAGGCAGGGUACUGGCUCAUUACUGACACUAAGGCACGAAAGCGUGGGGAGCGAACGGGAUUAGAUACCCCGGUAGUCCACGCCGUAAACGAUGGAUGCUA